rnacentral:lncRNA from 1 species
UUAUGCAAAGAGGAAUCAACAAAGGUAUAAAUUUCUCAACUCACUUUGUUUUGAGUUGAGUCUUGGUUCACCGAACUACUAGGCUUUGAAUUUCAUGGGUAAUGUUUUGUUUUGAGUGCAUACAAGCAUGAUUCCGCCUUUAAUUUGUUAAUUGCAUGCUAUAGAUGUUGCUCAAAUGAACAUGUUUUUUACAAAAUUUCCUUCAUAAUCACCCUUGUCCCAUUCAUUAUUUCAAAUUUCAUGCAUCAUUACAUUGUUAACUAGUGAUGUCACGGUUAAUUUGGAGCAUUGUCGUUCAUAAUUUAAUGAAGUAGUAACUGGAAAUCGAGUUAUUUGCAUACAUGUCAUGUGUGGAGAAAAAGCCUCUAGCUAUCCCAUCCAUCAUCUUAUUUCUCACAUUCGGUUUACAAUCUGUCUAGUUUUUCAUACUUGUUUGUUUGUUUCAACUUCAU